rnacentral:rRNA from 1 species
UGGGGAAUAUUGCACAAUGGGCGCAAGCCUGAUGCAGCCAUGCCGCGUGUAUGAAGAAGGCCUUCGGGUUGUAAAGUACUUUCAGCGGGGAGGAAGGGAGUAAAGUUAAUACCUUUGCUCAUUGACGUUACCCGCAGACGAAGCACCGGCUAACUCCGUGCCAGCAGCCGCGGUAAUACGGAGGGUGCAAGCGUUAAUCGGAAUUACUGGGCGUAAAGCGCACGCAGGCGGUUUGUUAAGUCAGAUGUGAAAUCCCCGGGCUCAACCUGGGAACGGCAGCUGAUACUGGCAAGCUUGAGUCUCGUAGAGGGGGGUAGAAUUCCAGGUGUAGCGGUGAAAUGCGUAGAGAGCUGGAGGAAUACCGGUGGCGAAGGCGGCCCCCUGGACGAAGACUGACGCUCAGGUGCGAAAGCGUGGGGAGCAAACAGG